GAUGAACGCUGGCGGCGUGCCUAAUACAUGCAAGUCGAGCGAACGGACGAGAAGCUUGCUUCUCUGAUGUUAGCGGCGGACGGGUGAGUAACACGUGGAUAACCUACCUAUAAGACUGGGAUAACUUCGGGAAACCGGAGCUAAUACCGGAUAAUAUUUUGAACCGCAUGGUUCAAAAGUAAAAGACGGUCUUGCUGUCACUUAUAGAUGGAUCCGCGCUGCAUUAGCUAGUUGGUAAGGUAACGGCUUACCAAGGCAACGAUGCAUAGCCGACCUGAGAGGGUGAUCGGCCACACUGGAACUGAGACACGGUCCAGACUCCUACGGGAGGCAGCAGUAGGGAAUCUUCCGCCAUGGGCGAAAGCCUGACGGAGCAACGCCGCGUGAGUGAUGAAGGUCUUCGGAUCGUAAAACUCUGUUAUUAGGGAAGAACAUAUGUGUAAGUAACUGUGCACAUCUUGACGGUACCUAAUCAGAAAGCCACGGCUAACUACGUG
rnacentral:rRNA from 1 species